rfam:Nicotiana sylvestris Nsyl_contig107868, whole genome shotgun sequence.
UGGACAGAUUAUUGUAUUCGACUGUAUUCACGGCGUAAAACAGGAGAUUACACUGUUUUUAAACGGAAAGUGAAUCAAUUAACAUAAUAGACUCCU